rnacentral:rRNA from 1 species
UUAAGCGACUAAGCGUACACGGUGGAUGCCCUGGCAGUCAGAGGCGAUGAAGGACGUGCUAAUCUGCGAUAAGCGCCGGUAAGGUGAUAUGAACCGUUAUAACCGGCGAUUUCCGAAUGGGGAAACCCAGUGUGACUCGUCACACUAUCAUUAACUGAAUCCAUAGGUUAAUGAGGCGAACCGGGGGAACUGAAACAUCUAAGUACCCCGAGGAAAAGAAAUCAACCGAGAUUCCCCCAGUAGCGGCGAGCGAACGGGGAGGAGCCCAGAGCCUGAAUCAGCAUGUGUGUUAGUGGAAGCGUCUGGAAAGGCGCGCGAUACAGGGUGACAGCCCCGUACACAAAAGCGCAUGUGCUGUGAGCUCGAUGAGUAGGGCGGGACACGUGGUAUCCUGUCUGAAUAUGGGGGGACCAUCCUCCAAGGCUAAAUACUCCUGACUGACCGAUAGUGAACCAGUACCGUGAGGGAAAGGCGAAAAGAACCCCGGCGAGGGGAGUGAAAAAGAACCUGAAACCGUGUACGUACAAGCAGUGGGAGCCCCACCACCAAAGCAUUCUCUGGUGUUGAAGGCCCUGCAAAGCAGCAUCGCGGUGGCGGAGCGUCGUUUGCGACGCCCAACACACAAAACAAGCGGUGAGUGCUUUGGGGUGGGGUGACUGCGUACCUUUUGUAUAAUGGGUCAGCGACUUAUAUUCUGUAGCAAGGUUAACCGCAUAGGGGAGCCGGAGGGAAACCGAGUCUUAAUUGGGCGUUAAGUUGCAGGGUAUAGACCCGAAACCCGGUGAUCUAGCCAUGGGCAGGUUGAAGGUUGGGUAACACUAACUGGAGGACCGAACCGACUAAUGUUGAAAAAUUAGCGGAUGACCUGUGGCUGGGGGUGAAAGGCCAAUCAAACCGGGAGAUAGCUGGUUCUCCCCGAAAGCUAUUUAGGUAGCGCCUCGUGAAUUCAUCUCCGGGGGUAGAGCACUGUUUCGGCUAGGGGGCCAUCCCGGCUUACCAACCCGAUGCAAACUGCGAAUACCGGAGAAUGUUAUCACGGGAGACACACGGCGGGUGCUAACGUCCGUCGUGAAGAGGGAAACAACCCAGACCGCCAGCUAAGGUCCCAAAGUCAUGGUUAAGUGGGAAACGAUGUGGGAAGGCCCAGACAGCCAGGAUGUUGGCUUAGAAGCAGCCAUCAUUUAAAGAAAGCGUAAUAGCUCACUGGUCGAGUCGGCCUGCGCGGAAGAUGUAACGGGGCUAAACCAUGCACCGAAGCUGCGGCAGCGACACUGUGUGUUGUUGGGUAGGGGAGCGUUCUGUAAGCCUGCGAAGGUGGCCUGUGAGGGUUGCUGGAGGUAUCAGAAGUGCGAAUGCUGACAUAAGUAACGAUAAAGCGGGUGAAAAGCCCGCUCGCCGGAAGACCAAGGGUUCCUGUCCAACGUUAAUCGGGGCAGGGUGAGUCGACCCCUAAGGCGAGGCCGAAAGGCGUAGUCGAUGGGAAACGGGUUAAUAUUCCCGUACUUGGUGUUACUGCGAAGGGGGGACGGAGAAGGCUAUGUUGGCCGGGCGACGGUUGUCCCGGUUUAAGCGUGUAGGUGUGUGUUCCAGGUAAAUCCGGUUCACUUUAACACUGAGGCGUGAUGACGAGGCACUACGGUGCUGAAGCAACAAAUGCCCUGCUUCCAGGAAAAGCCUCUAAGCAUCAGGUAACAUCAAAUCGUACCCCAAACCGACACAGGUGGUCAGGUAGAGAAUACCAAGGCGCUUGAGAGAACUCGGGUGAAGGAACUAGGCAAAAUGGUGCCGUAACUUCGGGAGAAGGCACGCUGACACGUAGGUGAAGUGAUUUACUCACGGAGCUGAAGUCAGUCGAAGAUACCAGCUGGCUGCAACUGUUUAUUAAAAACACAGCACUGUGCAAACACGAAAGUGGACGUAUACGGUGUGACGCCUGCCCGGUGCCGGAAGGUUAAUUGAUGGGGUCAGCGCAAGCGAAGCUCCUGAUCGAAGCCCCGGUAAACGGCGGCCGUAACUAUAACGGUCCUAAGGUAGCGAAAUUCCUUGUCGGGUAAGUUCCGACCUGCACGAAUGGCGUAAUGAUGGCCAGGCUGUCUCCACCCGAGACUCAGUGAAAUUGAACUCGCUGUGAAGAUGCAGUGUACCCGCGGCAAGACGGAAAGACCCCGUGAACCUUUACUAUAGCUUGACACUGAACAUUGAGCCUUGAUGUGUAGGAUAGGUGGGAGGCUUUGAAGUGUGGACGCCAGUCUGCAUGGAGCCGACCUUGAAAUACCACCCUUUAAUGUUUGAUGUUCUAACGUGGACCGUGAUCCGGGUUGCGGACAGUGUCUGGUGGGUAGUUUGACUGGGGCGGUCUCCUCCUAAAGAGUAACGGAGGAGCACGAAGGUUGGCUAAUCCUGGUCGGACAUCAGGAGGUUAGUGCAAUGGCAUAAGCCAGCUUGACUGCGAGCGUGACGGCGCGAGCAGGUGCGAAAGCAGGUCAUAGUGAUCCGGUGGUUCUGAAUGGAAGGGCCAUCGCUCAACGGAUAAAAGGUACUCCGGGGAUAACAGGCUGAUACCGCCCAAGAGUUCAUAUCGACGGCGGUGUUUGGCACCUCGAUGUCGGCUCAUCACAUCCUGGGGCUGAAGUAGGUCCCAAGGGUAUGGCUGUUCGCCAUUUAAAGUGGUACGCGAGCUGGGUUUAGAACGUCGUGAGACAGUUCGGUCCCUAUCUGCCGUGGGCGCUGGAGAACUGAGGGGGGCUGCUCCUAGUACGAGAGGACCGGAGUGGACGCAUCACUGGUGUUCGGGUUGUCAUGCCAAUGGCACUGCCCGGUAGCUAAAUGCGGAAGAGAUAAGUGCUGAAAGCAUCUAAGCACGAAACUUGCCCCGAGAUGAGUUCUCCCUGAGACUUAGAGUCUCCUGAAGGAACGUUGAAGACGACGACGUUGAUAGGCCGGGUGUGUAAGCGCAGCGAUGCGUUGAGCUAACCGGUACUAAUGAACCGUGAGGCUUAACCUU